rnacentral:rRNA from 1 species
UACAGAGGUGGCAAGCGUUGUUCGGAAUUACUGGGCGUAAAGUGUGCGCAGGUGGCCGCGCAAGUCGAGUGUGAAAUCCCCGAGCUUAACUUGGGAAUUGCGCUCGAAACUACGUGGCUAGAGUGUGGCAGAGGGAGGUGGAAUUCCACGUGUAGCGGUGAAAUGCGUAGAGAUGUGGAGGAACACCAAUGGCGAAGGCAGCCUCCUGGGCCAACACUGACACUCAUGCACGAAAGCGUGGGGAGCAAACAGG